GCCAGACUCCUACGGGAGGCAGCAGUGGGGGAUAUUGCACAAUGGGGGAAACCCUGAUGCAGCGACGCCGCGUGAGUGAAGAAGCAAUUCGUUACGUAAAGCUCUAUCAGCAGGGAAGAAAAUGACGGUACCUGACUAAGAAGCCCCGGCUAACUACGUGCCAGCAGCCGCGGUAAUACGUAGGGGGCAAGCGUUAUCCGGAAUUACUGGGUGUAAAGGGAGCGCAGACGGCAGUGCAAGUCUGGAGUGAAAGCCCGGGGCCCAACCCCGGGACUGCUCUUGGAACUGCGUGGCUGGAGUGCAGGAGGGGCAGGCGGAAUUCCUGGUGUAGCGGUGAAAUGCGUAGAUAUCAGGAGGAACACCGGUGGCGAAGGCGGCCUGCUGGACGGCAACUGACGUUGAGGCCCGAAAGCGUGGGGAGCAAACAGGAUUAGAUACCCCCGUAAUU
rnacentral:rRNA from 1 species